GGAGAAGAAGAAGACCAGUUGUUUGAUGAAGGACGCUUGAGGGACGUCGCAGUCAUCGAGGACUGAGACGGUGUCGCCGCUGACGGUGCAGGCCCCUUGUGACACCUGUGGAGCAGAAGGAGUUUUGGUGCAAUGACAAAAAACUUUGUUGCCUGGGCUCUCGUGACGAGCCAGUCUUUGAAAGGAACACAAGUCCACUAUGGAGGACAACAAGGAGCUGGCCUGGACCAGAGGACCACCGCUAGCCGCUUUAUAAGGAAAUGGAGGCGGGGCCACCACCUACGAACAAGCUAAAUGCUAGCCCGUGACUCCCAUUGACGAGUGACAGCUGCUGUAAGGGGGCGGGCCACGUUGGACCAAUCGGGGCGCUCCACCCACCUCGUGCAGCACUUUGACGUAGUGGAUGUCAUCGGGGAAACGCAGCAUGAGGCGAGGCAGGAAGGCGUCGUCCCCCGCCACCAGCAGCGACGUGUUCAACAGGAAGGAGCGGCCAGAACCCAACGCAAACACGAGUGUCGCUGACAGCUGCAGGUCCGUGGAGCAGUUGGGAAGGAAGCAGGACCGAGCGAAGCGUGUCUGCCACACACACACACAUACUGGUUAUCAUUUGGAAUGGGGACCAAGUUUUUGAUCAUCACUUGUGGGGACCACCCUUUCUACAGGUUGUGGAGGCAUAAACAAAAUGAGGUAAAAUGGCCACUGCCCAGUUAGCUCAUACACGUCUUUAAAUCUCUGGAUUGAUGAAGCAUACUUG